UGUGAGUGAAGAAGGCCUUCGGGUCGUAAGGCUCUGUCAAGUGGGAAUAAAGUCCCUCGGUGAAUACCCGAGGGAUCUGAAGGUACCACUAAAGGAAACACCGGCUAACUCCGUGCCAGCAGCCGCGGUAAUACGGAGGGUGCAAGCGUUAUUCGGAUUUAUUGGGCGUAAAGAGCGUGUAGGCGGUUGGGAUAGUCAGACGUGAAAGCCUUCUGCUCAACAGAAGAAGUACGUCUGAAACUGCCCAACUUGAGUACGAGAGAGGAAAGUGGAAUUCCCAAUGUAGAGGUGAAAUUCGUAGAUAUUGGGAGGAACACCUGUGGCGAAGGCGACUUUCUGGAUCGAUACUGACGCUGAGACGCGAAAGCGUGGGUAGCAAACAGGAUUAGAUACCCUGGUAGUCCACGCUGUAAACGAUGGGAACUAGGUGUAGCGGGUAUUGAUCCCUGCUGUGCCAAAGCUAACGCAUUAA
rnacentral:rRNA from 1 species